rnacentral:lncRNA from 1 species
UCUGGAUAAAUGUGAUUGGAUAUGAAGUAAUCACUAUUGAAAUAAAUCAUUCACAGGGUAGUGCUUGGUAGAAGCAUUGAGCAAUUUGAACACCACAGCUACACACUACAACCCUAAAGAAAGAAGCAUUGAUUAUGGGAUAUUUCAGAUCAAUAGUCACUACUGGUGUGAUGAUGGCAAGACACCAAAGGCACACCUAUUCAAGGUGUGGAGUCAAUUGCUCAGAACUUCUGGAAGAUGACCUUCUUAAAGCAGUAAACUGUGCAGCGAAGGUUGGAGGUCCACAAGGUUUUCUGGCACGCCCCACUCUGAAGUGUAGCAGGACAUGAAUUUCACCUGAGAAUGUAAUAUCUGCAAAUCCUCUGGGUUAAAAAUCCUCCAUCAUUCUGUUUUUGUGGCCAGGAGUCAUCUCCAUGGCUUGAAGGACAACAACAAUUCAUGGAUGGAAUAAUGGGCAGAAGCACAAGUGAUCUAAAAUUUUCAUCAAAAGGG